rnacentral:rRNA from 1 species
UACGGAGGGUGCGAGCGUUGUCCGGAAUCACUGGGCGUAAAGCGCACGUAGGCGGAUCUUUAAGUCAGGGGUGAAAUCCCGGAGCUCAACUCCGGAACUGCCUUUGAUACUGAGGGUCUCGAGUCCGGGAGAGGUGAGUGGAACUGCGAGUGUAGAGGUGAAAUUCGUAGAUAUUCGCAAGAACACCAGUGGCGAAGGCGGCUCACUGGCCCGGUACUGACGCUGAGGUGCGAAAGCGUGGGGAGCAAACAGG